rnacentral:rRNA from 1 species
CAGUAGCCACGGGAAUAUGAAGGGGGCUAGCGUUGUUCGGAUUUACUGGGCGUAAAGGGCGCGUAGGCGGACUGAUAAGUCAGGGGUGAAAUCCCAAGGCUCAACCUUGGAACUGCCUUUGAUACUGUUUGUCUUGAGUUCGAGAGAGGUAAGUGGAACUGCGAGUGUAGAGGUGAAAUUCGUAGAUAUUCGCAAGAACACCAGUGGCGAAGGCGGCUUACUGGCUCGAAACUGACGCUGAGGCGCGAAAGCGUGGGGAGCAAACAGGAUUAGAGACCCCGGUAGUCCCUGUCUCUUAUAC